rnacentral:rRNA from 1 species
UACGUAGGUGACAAGCGUUGUCCGGAUUUACUGGGCGUAAAGAGCGCGCAGGCGGUCGAUCAAGUCGAGUGUGAAAGCCCCCGGCUCAACUGGGGAGGGUCAUUCGAUACUGAUCGACUCGAAGGCAGGAGAGGGUAGUGGAAUUCCCGGUGUAGUGGUGAAAUGCGUAGAUAUCGGGAGGAACACCAGUGGCGAAGGCGGUUGCCUGGAGCUUUGCUGACGCUGAUGCGCGAAAGCUAGGGAGCAACGGG